UGAACUCCCCUUCUCGAGUUUCAUCUACUAAAUACGAAACUCAACAUAACUCAAAUUUACUAUGAUUUUGGUCAAGUAUAGCCUCGUGGUUUCUGAAGAAACCCAAUUUCUAAAUUUGUGCAAUUUAUGUUGUACAUAUAAAUGUACCGAUGUUAUUUCCUGCUCGAAUGGAGCUCGCUACAUCUGUUCAAAGGGUAAUUAAUUCGGGAUCAAGGGAUCAACCAGAGAACAAAAGAACUUCAAGGGAAUAAAGCGAUUUUUUUGGGGUAUGUAGUGAGCAUGUAGACUAAGCUAGUUGACAAAUAUAAGGCAUAUGAAGCACCAAAAUUGACUUCUUUUGGAAUGGGAAAGAUGAACCUUCUUGGAGAUCAACUAUAGACAAGUGAAAAAAAUAAACCACAACUUGCAAGACAGAACCUUAUAUUACCUGCAUGUUUAGAGAGAUAAUGUUCCUCAGCAUUCUGUCUUGCUAAUGAUUCACCACAUUUAUGACAAGCUUGCCUAAACUGCCCACCGCAAUCACUCUCGAUCAUGGACAACCUUCGACGAUGAAACGACGAAUCAGAAACAUGGUUAGGCCCAGGCUCAUUAGUAAUAGAAUCAAGCCCAUUACAGAAAGUCUUCAUUCUUGUUCUUGGAGCAGGGGAAGUAAGGAUUGAUCAGAUCACUGCUUCUUAUAGACAACGGACUGCGAAUUGAUGAGUUUUGCUUGAUUCUCUUGCUACCAUGAAUCACAUCUUUGAGAGUUGACUUACAUGAUGAAGAUGAUGCAAAUCCUCUUGAGUUAGGCUUGCAGCAGCUUUUUCUGCUCUUUCUUUUGGGUUUUGGUUCAUGAACUUCAGAUGGGUUUGACUUGCAAUGCAAUGAUUUCUUUACUGCUGUCCAAACUGCUGACAUUCUCUCUCUCUCUCCUCUUUCUCUGUGUUUCUUUCUCUGUUUUUCCUACUAUGUUUUAUCCUGUCUCUCUCAUUCUAAGUUUAAGAAAAACAACUUUAUUAUACAGAAGAGGAUAUCUUAUAGAAAGCAAUUGAUAUGCUUCUUUAUCAGCAAAUACUCACCAUAUAAGCCAUUCCGAAUUUAAAUAUCGUGCUUGUAGACCUCGCAACUUGGUUUAUUACUAUAUAUGUUGACCUUGCACUCCCGCAGGCGGCAAGGUAAAGCAAUUUUUUGUUUUCUCUUUUACUGGAUUAUACUUACCACAUACAAGGAGGUAUAGAUAUUUAUCUUAGGUCAUAGUAAGUUUAUUUGUUGUUUAUUGUUAUUUCAAGUACAAUUAAUAUUUCAGUUGGAUUAUCGUCAAGAUGCUGGGCCGACCCUGAACAUGGUGUGCGCGUUGCAUCAUGGACCCUGGACAUUGCCUAGACAAGCUUUUUGGUGGACAGCAUGGCAUGAAGCACUUACUCGAGCACAAGAAUGCACAAGUUAUGCUUUUGAGCAUUGUUGCAUGGAACGCAAAACGUUCCAGAACGUGGUACGGAAACGGAAACGCAGAACACAGCCUCUAGAGUAAACCAGAUGGAGUACCACGUACCACGUUCCCGGUAUCAAUGCUUUUGAGCCUAAGCAAGUAAGCACAGUGGCAUAACACGACUAGCACAUGCACAUGGGUUACGCCACACCGCGGACCUACCCCAUGAACUUUGCUGCAGUUAACGGCAAUUUCUGGUUGCAGGUAGCUAGCUUGGCAGUACAAGGCAUAGCCCAGCGCAAUUCAGUGUCAACCUUAUAGAUAAUCAAGUACAUAUUGAUUUUACCAUCUUUGUUUAUUUUACUAUUUCUUAUUCAUUUUUUAUUCAAACAUGUUAUCUAA